AGGACGAACGCUUGCGACGUGCCUAAGAAAUGCAAGUCGAACGAGGCAGCAAUGCCGAGUGGCGAACGGUCGCGUAACACGUGGGCAACCUGCCCUGAAGCGGGGGACAACAACUUGAAAGAGUUGCUAAUACCGCAUGUGAAUCGUGGUGGCAUCACCGAGGAUUCAAAGCCGCAAGGCACUUCAGGAUGGGCCCGCGGCCUAUCAGCUAGUUGGUGAGGUAACGGCCCACCAAGGCUUCGACGGGUAGCUGGUCUGAGAGGACGAUCAGCCGGAUUGGGACUGAGAUACGGCCCAGACUCCUACGGGGGCAGCAAUUAGGAAUCUUGCGCAAUGGGCGAAAGCCUGACGCAGCGACGUCGCGUGAAGGAUGAAAUCUUUCGGGAUGUAAACUUACUUUUUUCGGGGAAGGAAACAAAUAGACGGUAACCCGAAGAAAUAAGCCCGGCCUAACUAACGCGCCAGCAGCCGC
rnacentral:rRNA from 1 species